rnacentral:rRNA from 1 species
CAGUCGCCACGGUAACACGAAGGGGGCUAGCGUUGUUCGGAUUUACCGGGCGUAAAGCGCACGUAGGCGGACUUUUAAGUCAGGGGUGAAAUCCCGGGGCUCAACCCCGGAACUGCCUUUGAUACUGGAAGUCUUGAGUAUGGUAGAGGUGAGUGGAAUUCCGAGUGUAGAGGUGAAAUUCGUAGAUAUCGGAAGGAACACCUGUGGCGAAAGCGGCUCACUGGACAAUAACUGACGCUGAUGCACGAAAGCUAGGGGAGCAAACAGGAUUAGAUACCCCGGUAGUCCCUGUCUCUUAUAC